rnacentral:misc_RNA from 1 species
GAAAUGCGAUAAGUAAUGUGAAUUGCAGAAUUCAGUGAAUCAUCGAAUCUUUGAACGCACAUUGCGCUCGCCAGUAUUCUGGCGAGCAUGCCUGUUCGAGCGUCAUUUCAACCAUCAAGCUCUGCUUGCGUUGGGGAUCCGCGGCUGCCCGCGGUCCCUCAAAAACAGUGGCGGGCUCGCUAGUCACACCGAGCGUAGUAACUCUACAUCGCUAUGGUCGUGCGGCGGGUUCUUGCCGUAAAAACCCCAAUUUCUAAGGUUGACCUCGGAUCAGGUAGGAAUACCCGCUGAACUUAAGC